GCCUACGGGGGGCAGCAGUAGGGAAUCUUCCACAAUGGGCGAAAGCCUGAUGGAGCAACGCCGCGUGGGUGAAGAAGGUCUUCGGAUCGUAAAACCCUGUUGUUAGAGAAGAAAGUGCGUGAGAGUAACUGUUCACGUUUCGACGGUAUCUAACCAGAAAGCCACGGCUAACUACGUGCCAGCAGCCGCGGUAAUACGUAGGUGGCAAGCGUUAUCCGGCUUUAUUGGGCGUAAAGGGAACGCAGGCGGCCUUUUAAGUCUGAUGUGAAAGCCUUCGGCUUAACCGGAGUAGUGCAUUGGAAACU
rnacentral:rRNA from 1 species